rnacentral:rRNA from 1 species
ACAUGCAAGUCGAGCGGACAGAUGGGAGCUUGCUCCCUGAUGUUAGCGGCGGACGGGUGAGUAACACGUGGGUAACCUGCCUGUAAGACUGGGAUAACUCCGGGAAACCGGGGCUAAUACCGGAUGCUUGUUUGAACCGCAUGGUUCAAACAUAAAAGGUGGCUUCGGCUACCACUUACAGAUGGACCCGCGGCGCAUUAGCUAGUUGGUGAGGUAACGGCUCACCAAGGCAACGAUGCGUAGCCGACCUGAGAGGGUGAUCGGCCACACUGGGACUGAGACACGGCCCAGACUCCUACGGGAGGCAGCAGUAGGGAAUCUUCCGCAAUGGACGAAAGUCUGACGGAGCAACGCCGCGUGAGUGAUGAAGGUUUUCGGAUCGUAAAGCUCUGUUGUUAGGGAAGAACAAGUACCGUUCGAAUAGGGCGGUACCUUGACGGUACCUAACCAGAAAGCCACGGCUAACUACGUGCCAGCAGC